rnacentral:rRNA from 1 species
AAGCGUUGUUCGGAAUUACUGGGCGUAAAGGGCUCGUAGGCGGCCAACUAAGUCAUACGUGAAAUCCCUCAGCUUAACUGGGGAACUGCGUGUGAUACUGGAUGGCUUGGAUUUGGGAGAGGGAUGCGGAAUUCCAGGUGUAGCGGUGAAAUGCGUAGAUAUCUGGAGGAACACCGGUGGCGAAGGCGGCAUCCUGGACCAAUAUUGACGCUGAGGAGCGAAAGCCAGGGGAGCAAACGGG